rnacentral:rRNA from 1 species
UACAGAGGGUGCGAGCGUUAAUCGGAAUUACUGGGCGUAAAGGGCGCGUAGGUGGUUAAUUAAGUUAGAUGUGAAAUCCCUGGGCUUAACCUAGGAACUGCAUUUAAUACUGAAUGACUAGAGUGUGGUAGAGGGUAGUGGAAUUUCCGGUGUAGCGGUGAAAUGCGUAGAUAUCGGAAGGAACACCAGUGGCGAAGGCGGCUACCUGGACUAACACUGACACUGAGGCGCGAGAGCGUGGGGAGCAAACAGG